AGGACGAACGCUGGCGGCGUGCUUAACACAUGCAAGUCGAGCGGUAAGGCCCUUUCGGGGGUACACGAGCGGCGAACGGGUGAGUAACACGUGAGCAAUCUGCCCUUCACUUCGGGAUAAGCCUCGGAAACGGGGUCUAAUACCGGAUAUGACUGCGCCAUGCAUGUGGUGUGGUGGAAAGUUCUGGCGGUGAGGGAUGAGCUCGCGGCCUAUCAGCUUGUUGGUGGGGUAAUGGCCUACCAAGGCUUCGACGGGUAGCCGGCCUGAGAGGGUGACCGGCCACACUGGGACUGAGACACGGCCCAGACUCUACGGGAGGCAGCAGUGGGAAUAUUGGACAAUGGGACGAAAGCCUAGAUCCGAAGCAAACGCCGCGUGAGGGAUGGACGG
rnacentral:rRNA from 1 species